rnacentral:misc_RNA from 1 species
GAAAUGCGAUAAGUAGUGUGAAUUGCAGAAUUCAGUGAAUCAUCGAAUCUUUGAACGCACAUUGCGCCCCUUGGUAUUCCAUGGGGCAUGCCUGUUCGAGCGUCAUCUACACCCUCAAGCUCUGCUUGGUGUUGGGCGUCUGUCCCACCCCCGCGCGUGGACUCGCCCCAAAUCCAUUGGCAGCGUUCCUUGCCCCCUCUCGCGCAGCACAUUGCGCUUCUCGAGGGCGGCUCCGGGACGCGAUCCAGCAAGAUGACCACCGUCUUUGACCUCGGAUCAGGUAGGGAUACCCGCUGAACUUAAGC